ACAUUAUGGAAUCUCUGGAAAAUGUAUGUUCAAGAUGUCGCUAUCUGGAUGCCAAGAAUCAAGUUGAUCAAGAGGAAUUAUUCUCUAUGAAAGCAACACAAGAACAAUGUGAGAUGCUAGAGAAAGAGAACAUGAGGUUGGAAAAAGAAUUUUGGGACCUCAAAAACCAUAUGCAACAGAUGGUAGAUCUUGGUGAAAUUAAAAUGUAUAAAGACGACAUUGAAGAAAGAGCAACACAGGAUGUUGUAGAAAAAAUAAAAGAAGUCAAUCUAUUUUUGCAGUCACAAGCGGCAUCUGAAGAAUACAUAGAACAG